GACAGGUGCUGCAUGGCUGUCGUCAGCUCGUGUCGUGAGAUGUUGGGUUAAGUCCCGCAACGAGCGCAACCCUUAUCCCCAGUUGCCAUCAGGUAAAGCUGGGAACUCUGGGGAGACUGCCGGUGAUAAACCGGAGGAAGGCGGGGAUGACGUCAAGUCCUCAUGGCCCUUACAUCCCGGGCUACACACGUGCUACAAUGGCAGGUACAGAGGGCUGCGAAGCCGCGAGGUGGAGCGAAUCCCAGAAAACCUGUCUCAGUCCGGAUUGAAGUCUGCAACUCGACUUCAUGAAGGCGGAAUCGCUAGUAACCGCGAAUCAGCAGGUCGCGGUGAAUACGUUCCCGGGCCUU
rnacentral:rRNA from 1 species